AGAUAGUUGUUUUCAGUAUGUGUGUACCAGUGUGUACAUAUACCACUUUCACUUUGAAUUUUUAGGGUGCUGGCAACAUAUGCAACAAUACUUUCAUCUGUGAAUACCCACUUGCUAAGCCCACCAUGAUCUACGAAUGCCAAUUAAUAUGUAAGGACACCAAUGAACAGACACUUUCCAAUUAUCGUACAUCAUAUAUAUGGGUGGUCAAACUCACUGGAUGGUUUAUCAACACUCCCAUGCUCACGAACAGCCUUGCCCCAGGAAUUUUGCCCUGAAGUAACAUUGCAGUCUAUUGUCUCCCUUCUUUUUACAACCCUGGCAGCCAUGCAGGAUAGAAGCUGAUCACUUGAACUUGAAAGCAAAUUAUAAUGUCUUGGACAAGUCAAAGAAUUUCCUCCAGUCUUACAGAGAAGUAACAGUUGAUAAGAGAAUGGUGGACACAAAGUAAAAGUGCUCUUCAACAUUUUGUUGAAGAUUUCAGUCUGAUUUGGAAUUCAUCUUGCAAUAUAUCUGGAUUUGUAUAUUUGGAUAUAAGCAUCAAAUUUUCAACUUAUUGACUAAGCAGUUUUGGGCUAAAUAUUGCCAAUGCUAUUUAUUAUUAUUAUUUCCCUCCAAGAUAACAUGUCAAGUCUUUAUUGUACCCCUUAAGCUCAGUUAUACCAGAAAAAUCUUGUAAUGAAAUCAUUUAGUUUUUUUUUUCUUGUUAGAUUAAAUCCAUGAAAAUAAAGAUUAUUUUUAAUGGCAUCAAGAGAAUGGAUUUCUUGUUUAACAAAAAGAUUGUAUACAUGUUUUGCUAGGGGUUUGUAAGAAGCAGACCAGAAUUCUUUGCUUGCAAAUUUUGUCGUUCGCCAUUUUUAUUACGUCAACUAUUAGAUGAUUUAUCCAUGUAUGAAGCAUUUCAAAAUUGAUAUUUACUUACAGUUUAAAGCAGAAUUCUGUACUGAUAUGACCUUGACCCCCUGAAGAACAAGAGUGUCAAGGUCAAUUUUUUUAAUACAAAAAUGUUCUUUCAUCUUUAUGGCCCAUAUAUAUCUUACAAACAAUAUCAUGAAAUAUACAAAAAGUGUCUAGAAUGUGUCCAGAAUGUGAAAUAACAAACAUGUAUAUAGCCAAAACCUUUAAAAUGUUGUUGCUUAGCAACCACUAAAAGGUCAUUAAACAGAUAUUUGAACUAAAAUGAUGCAUGGAUAUUGCAGUUCUGAUCCCUUUUUGAGAGUAUAUUCAGAAUUUUCCAUUUCAGCAUCCAUUGUGUAA